rnacentral:tRNA from 1 species
GGAUUGUGGCUCAGCGGUAGAGCGCUUGCCUAGCAUGGGGGGAACCUGGGUUCGAUUCUCAGCACCA